rnacentral:rRNA from 1 species
UACGGAGGGUGCAAGCGUUAUCCGGAUUCACUGGGUUUAAAGGGUGCGUAGGCGGAUAGGUAAGUCCGUGGUGAAAUCCUGCAGCUUAACUGCAGAACUGCCAUGGAUACUAUCUAUCUUGAAUGUCGUGGAGGUUAGCGGAAUAUGUCAUGUAGCGGUGAAAUGCUUAGAGAUGACAUAGAACACCCAUUGCGAAGGCAGCUAACUACGCGAUAAUUGACGCUGAUGCACGAAAGCGUGGGGAGCAAACGGG